rnacentral:rRNA from 1 species
AGUCGAGCGAACAGAUAAGGAGCUUGCUCCUUUGACGUUAGCGGCGGACGGGUGAGUAACACGUGGGUAACCUACCUAUAAGACUGGAAUAACUCCGGGAAACCGGGGCUAAUGCUGGAUAAUAUUUAGAACCGCAUGGUUCUAAAGUGAAAGAUGGUUUUGCUAUCACUUGUAGAUGGACCCGCGCCGUAUUAGCUAGUUGGUGGGGUAAUGGCUUACCAAGGCAACGAUACGUAGCCGACCUGAGAGGGUGAUCGGCCACACUGGAACUGAGACACGGUCCAGACUCCUACGGGAGGCAGCAGUAGGGAAUCUUCCGCAAUGGGCGAAAGCCUGACGGAGCAACGCCGCGUGAGUGAUGAAGGUCUUCGGAUCGUAAAACUCUGUUAUUAGGGAAGAACAAAUGUGUAAGUAACUGUGCACGUCUUGACGGUACCUAAUCAGAAAGCCACGGCUAACUACGUGCCAGCAGCCGCGGUAAUACGUAGGUGGCAAGCGUUAUCCGGAAUUAUUGGGCGUAAAGCGCGCGUAGGCGGUUUCUUAAGUCUGAUGUGAAAGCCCACGGCUCAACCGUGGAGGGUCAUUGGAAACUGGGAAACUUGAGUGCAGAAGAGGAAAGUGGAAUUCCAUGUGUAGCGGUGAAAUGCGCAGAGAUAUGGAGGAACACCAGUGGCGAAGGCGACUUUCUGGUCUGUAACUGACGCUGAUGUGCGAAAGCGUGGGGAUCAAACAGGAUUAGAUACCCUGGUAGUCCACGCCGUAACGAUGAGUGCUAAGUGUUUAAGGGGUUUCCGCCCCUUAGUGCUGCAGCUAACGCAUUAAGCACUCCGCCUGGGGAGUACGACCGCAAGUUGAACUCAAGGAAUUGAC